CUCCCUCCUUUAUUAAACGCACACGGAAAUGCAGCACGCAGUGUUGGGGAAACGGAAAGGAAACCCGGAAAAGAAAACAGAGCAGGACUCCACUCUCCUCCCCCCUCCUCACUCUCUCUUUCUUGGAUCGUAAGCAAUCGCGGAGGAAAUCCAUCCGCAAUCGUGGAGGGGAGGACAUUUUGAUCGGUGCUGGUUUGCCAAGGCGGGGACGAGGGUACAUGGUGGCCGUCAUGGAUCGAGGCGUGGACGGGAGGACGGGGAGGGGCCAGCAGUGGAGGCGCACCAGCCCUUUCUCCCGCUCUUUGCUCCUCUUCUCGCAGUAAUCGGGGAGGGUGGUGGUGGUGGUGGUGGUGCCGGUGCCAUCUGAAUUUCUGCGGAGCUCGCCAUGAAGCGGCCCGGCGGCGGAAACCCCUCCUCCCUCCACCAGAUGGCCAGCCCCAAUCAUAUGGACUACGGCGUGGUCGGGAUGGAGGCGGACGGGGACGCGGAGGAGGAGAUGAUGGCGUGCGGCGGUGGCGGCGGCGGCUGCGGGGGAGGGGAGAAGAAGCGGCGGCUGAGCGCGGAGCAGGUGCGCGCCCUGGAGCGGAGCUUCGAGGUGGAGAACAAGCUGGAGCCGGAGCGCAAGGCGCGGCUGGCGCGCGACCUCGGCCUGCAGCCGCGCCAGGUCGCCGUCUGGUUCCAGAACCGCCGCGCGCGCUGGAAGACCAAGCAGCUCGAGCGCGACUACAACGCGCUGCGCCACUCCUACGACGCGCUCCGCGUCGACCACGACGCCCUCCGCCGCGACAAGGAGGCCCUCCUCGCCGAGAUCAAGGAUCUGAAGGGGAAGCUGGGGGACGAGGAGGCCGCGGCGAGCUUCACGUCGGUGAAGGAGGAGCCGGCGGCGUCCGACGGCCCGCCGCCCGCGGGCAUGGGGUCAUCCGACAGCGACUCGAGCGGUGUUCUGAACGACACGGACGCGACCGGCGCGACACCAACAGAGGAGGCGCCGGCUCCAGACAUGGGGACGCUGCUCGGCGGGCCCGGGGCGGCCGGCGCGGCGGCGGCGGGGCACGGGCAGGUGUUCCUGCACGGGAAUUUCCUGAAGGUGGAGGAGGACGAGACGGGGUUCCUGGACGACGAGGAGCCGUGCGGGGGGUUCUUCGCCGACGAGCCGCCGCUGGCGUGGUGGACGGAGCCGACGGAUCCCUGGAAGUGAGGCGCGGCGGAGAGAGAGAGACUCGGUGGGAGACGACACCUCGCGCGGGGAAUAAAAGAUUAGUGAAGAAAGCAGGGGCUUUUCUGAAAUUUUUGUAAAUCUCGUUUUUAUCUAGUCCUUUCCUGUCAAACCCUCGCCGUCGCAGCAUCAGCAAUAGUACUACUACUACUACUAGUGCCAUUUCCGCCCCCGCUCUUUCUGCCAUUUCCUUUUUCCUCCCGUAAACCCUCGCCUUUUAGCUAAAAACUUAAAUGUUCAAG
rnacentral:rRNA from 1 species